GUCAAUUCGAGCUAAAAAUGUAACAAAGUCAAUGCUAUUUCUUUGUUUCUUUGCAGUGUCGAACUCCACCACUACCUCCUCCAUAUCCGAACCUAUGAUUUAGUCGACAACUGCGCAGAUAAUUCCCUACAGUAACGUUUAAGGGAAAAAGCCGUAUUUAUUUUUAGCUUACUAUGCCUAUUUUUCCCAUUUUCUUUUUACUUGUUUUUUUUUUUAAUAUCUGUAUAUAAUUACUGUCAACUUAUAAUAACAAUGUUAACCAUAAAUUUUUUUUCAAUUAGAAUUAAACAUUCACUUUUGCAUCAUUAUACACCAUAAAAACCAAACAAAUAUAAAUAACAAAGAAAUAAACAAAGCAAGUUAAAAGAAUGUUUUUGUUGUUAUAUUGUCUGGCAACUGUAGCUGUGGUAGUGGCAUACGUGUGCAUUAAAACGUAAACACAAACAUGGCGUCAAAACAAAAAGAAAAACAGCCCAUAACGUAUAUACAUAUAUAUAAUAUAUGGAGAUAAGUUGAUCAAUAUUUAUAGAUUCAUAUCAUUCUUAUUUUUAAAAUCCUUAUAUUAUUUGAGAAAAAAAGAAAAAUACAAAAAUACAUAAUCUUUCAAAAGUCAAAACGUAGUCAGUCAUCAUUGAUACAAGACAAAAGUGCAAGAGAGAUAACGAAAUAAUGUAAACAACAACAAACGGUGAAAAACAACAGCAACAAAUAUUAAGAUUAGACGCAUAAGAAGAUGGAAAAGAGAAAAUGUAAAAUGGCACGUACAAAAUUUUGGGCUUAAAACUAAAACAAGCUCAAAGAAAAAAAUAUUAUUCAAAAAUUCAACUUACCACCCAGCAAAUCUUCACCCAUUUUUGGAGGUGUGGAAGCCAUUUUUUCUUUGUUAUUUCUACUCAAUUGUUUACUAAAAUAUUGAAAAUCAAGUUUUAAUUUUAAAUCAAUUUAAUAUUCAAAGAAUAUUCUUUAAAAUUCCUUUAUCGUUUUUGCAAACAAGAUUUACCGACACAACAAA